UUUUGCAACGGUAUCCAGUGUGCCGUUAGUUUCGUAGUCGCAAUUUUGUUAAUCGUAUUAUUUAUUUUUUACGCUACAAAUUAAGUUUUCCUUCAAAAUUUAUUAUAUUUUCUAUGAACAAAAAUUAUCAAUCAUUAUUUAUGGAUUUUAGUGGUUAUUUUUAGUAGGAACGAUUUUAUUAACUUAAUACGAUACUGAGGCUGUGGCCGCUUUUCGACUCUGUCACUCGUCUGAACUUGUGCGGUGGUUCGUGCCGCGCGCGCUUUGUUGGAAGCAUUUUUCUUUUGUUUUUGGACAUCAUGACGCAAGUUUUAGUGAAAUUGCUCUAUGAUGAUAAGUGGGAUGUUUAUCCGUUGAAGACGUUUGCUGACGCAGCUACUGGUCUUCGGGUGAUGUUCGAGCCUGGCAGUUUUGAUGAGUUGCGCGGCAGAAUUCAUGAUGGAAGGAAGGCGAACAAAGCCGCAGCCUGACUUCUGCACACAGGUUACACAUGCACCAAAUGCCCAGGUGCUAACGUGUCGUUCGUCAAGAACAGCUUGGCGUCGUUUCUCGCAAGAGACAUCCAUUGAUCUGCGGCUGAUUCACCAGGAAGCUCGCAUCUCUGUUGCCACUCUGCGUCAAGUGGGAUUUUAACUAUUUUUUAUUCUGCCCUGUGGUGUACGCUGUGACGCUGUGAAGACUUACUUUCAUGGACGCUGUGAAGGCUUACUUUCGAUGUGUUCUGCCUUUUAGUUGUAAAGAAUUGGCUACCUUGUGAGUGGAGGUAGUUCCUUUUUCUUGUGAGAAUGUUUAUCAGCCUAACCAAGUGGUACAUGCGUACCACAGGAACACAUACAAGCGCCGACUCAACUAGAAGUUUAUUAUUGAAGACAGGUUGUAAACACAUUGGAACUUGACAAAGAUAAGAAACCAUGUAUGCGUGGCCUUUGUGAUUAAACAAAAUUGUGUUUUCUGCUGUAAGGGGUAGAACGAACAAUUGUUUCAUCACAAAGACCAGAACACAAGAGAAAUUAUGGAAGCCUUAUUUAUUGAUUGCAAAGAAGACAAAUGCAUAAGCUAUCUGUUGCUCUUAAUGGGAAAGAGUUGGGAUUUUUAAAAGAGCUCUCCUUGUUUGGUGGUAUCACUUAUAGGACAUCUCUCACUGUUUUUUUUACCUGCAUAUUUAUACUACAAAACACGUCUUUCGUUCCUUUUUUUUUGUUGCACCGGGCUGUCUGCCACGCAUGCAUGGCCAUUUCUUUGUCAAGUUGGCCAGUGUGCUUAAUAUCUUUGUCGUCACGAACAAACUUCUAGUUGAGUCAGCAUUAUUGUGUGUUCCUACCUUAUUUCACCGUUCUCAUCUUUGUUUGAGCUGUUUGUAAAGUAUGUACACACACCAAAUUACCAAAGUAUCCGUAAAAUUGAGAUACAUGAAGUUAUUUGCACUAUUCAUUUCUGCAAGAAUGGUAUAGCUCCUCAUCUCGUUUGUUCUUAACGUUGUUGUACAGUUUUUGUAAUAUAUAGCUUGGAAAGACGUUUUCUGUCAGAUUAAAUAUGCAUGUAUGUCACUUUCGAUAUUUUUUUUCAACAUGGGUAGUGCAGCUCCUUCCGUCUUUCAGUUACUGCUUUGUCACAACUUUUAUAUAUUUUAUGCAGCGAAAUGCUGGUGGAAUUAUAUAUAUUUAUGUGCGCAAGUGUGGUAAAUGGCGUUUUGUAUGUGCAUUUAUUUGCGUUUUUUACUAGCUCUCCAAUCUGGCUGUACAGUUAUUGAAACCUUUUCUCAUGCUUUAUAAUGAGUCGUUCUAGGCUCUUUGAUGAUGCAGGUGACCGUUUAUUUCACUGUUGGGAAUUGCGUUAGCUGUGUGUCACUCCAGUUGUCUGUGUAUUUUAUGUCACUUCAUUAUAUCAUUGAAACUAUUAGCCUUGCAUUAGCUUUUUAUUGACCGAGGUACCAGUUAGUUGCUGUGUAGGGUGAAAAAGGCCCAAAGAAAUGAUUUCAUUAGCUUUGUUCAAGUCCAGAAAAAAAUUCACUGAUGAGCUCACUAAAUUAGAAAAUGCCACCAGGAAACUCUUCCGCACCCAAAAGUAACACAAGAAAUUAAAUACUGUUCAUACUCGAGAGGGAAACAGCGCGAAAAAACUCGACAAGAAGGGAGACACACACCAGCGCUUCUUGUCCCUUCUUGUCUUCUUGUGUUUUUUUGCGCUGUUUCCCUCUCGAGUAUGCACCGACUAGCCCAAGCCUCUACUGUCUUGAAAUACUGUGCAGUUCUUGACUUAUGCCAGGGAGGUAAGCUGCUUUUACAGCACAAAUGUUUUAGAAGUUUACGUCUGAAAAACACGAUUCAGGUGUUUUGUAUAUAUAUACAUGAAGUCAUUUGUUUCCAGUUUACUUGUUAUUUUGCCUACUCACAGGCAGCCGUAAACCCUUCUGUGAGUGUUUACUGGGUGUGUGAAGCAUUUUACUGUAAGGUAUCCAGUGGUCUUCAUUUUUGUAUUUAUGCAUGCAAGCCAAGAGUUCAUGUGUUCAAAGUUAGUUACAAGGGUAUGCUUAAGGUCUGCCUUUGAGUCACUUGACUGUUGUUUUUACAAAAUAUUUUUUUUCUGCUGUAAUUGUGAAAUAUAAUUCUUUCUGCUGUAAUAAACUUCAAGUUGAGUGAGCA